rnacentral:rRNA from 1 species
AAUAUUGGACAGUGGGCGAAAGCCUGAUCCAGCCAUGCCGCGUGAGUGAAGAAGGAUUUCGGUUCGUAAAACUCUGUUGUAAGGGAAGAACAAGUACAGUAGUAACUGGCUGUACCUUGACGGUACCUGAUUAGACAGCCACGGCUAACUACGUGCCAGCAGCCGCGGUAAUACGUAGGUGGCAAGCGUUGUCCGGAAUUAUUGGGCGUAAAGCGCGCGCAGGUGGUUUCUUAAGUCUGAUGUGAAAGCCCACGGCUCAACCGUGGAGGGUCAUUGGAAACUGGGAGACUUGAGUGCAGAAGAGGAUAGUGGAAUUCCAAGUGUAGCGGUGAAAUGCGUAGAGAUUUGGAGGAACACCAGUGGCGAAGGCGACUAUCUGGUCUGUAACUGUCACUGAGGCGCGAAAGCGUGGGGAGCAAACAGG